AAAUAAAAAAGAUUCUCUCUCUCAUUCAUCAAAAUAAGAAAAGGUAUGCAUUGUGAAAGCCAAAUGAGGUGGUUCAUAUGGGGAGUUCUCUUCCUCCUAAGUGAUCUUUCCUCUUCAUCUUCUCCGGCACCGGCGGCUUUCGUCGGAGUUCAAGACGGCCAUUUUCAGUUAAAUGGUUCUCCAUUUGUGUUCAAUGGCUUUAACUCUUACUGGAUGAUGUCCGUCGCUGCUGACCCGAACCAACGCCACAAAGUCUCCGACGUCUUUCGAGAUGCAGCCGCUGCCGCCCUCACAGUCUGCCGGACGUGGGCGUUUGCCGACGGCGGCUACCAUGCCCUCCAAAUCUCUCCCGGCGUUUAUGAUGAGAGAGUUUUUCAGGGUCUUGAUUUUGUGAUAUGGGAAGCAAGAAAGUAUGGAAUUAGAAUGAUACUGAGUUUGGUGAAUAAUUACAAAGACUACGGCGGAAGAGCACAGUAUGUACGGUGGGCCGAAGCUGCCGGCGAUCAAAUUCAUAACGACGAUGACUUCUAUACUAAUCAACUUAUCAACACCUACUACAAAAACCAUCUUCAGAAAGUGUUGAGAAGGAAGAAUUCAAUAAAUGGUUUGAGAUAUAUGGAUGAUCCGACCAUUAUGGGAUGGGAACUUAUGAAUGAACCACGUUGUGAAGUUGAUUCCUCAGGCAACACUAUCAAUGUAAGCUUCCAAUUAA
rnacentral:misc_RNA from 1 species